rnacentral:rRNA from 1 species
CCUACGGGUGGCUGCAGUUUCGAAUCAUUCACAAUGGGCGAAAGCCUGAUGGUGCGACGCCGCGUGAGGGAUGAAGGUCUUCGGAUUGUAAACCUCUGUCACUGGGGAGAAAACGCUUUGAGUUAAUAGUUCAAAGCCUGAUUUAACCCGGAGAGGAAGCAGUGGCUAACUCUGUGCCAGCAGCCGCGGUAAUACAGAGACGGCGAGCGUUAUUCGGAUGCACUGGGCGUCGGUGGUGCGCAGGCGGUUGGAAAUCCCGAGGCGUAACCUCGGAACUGCGUCUGAAACUACUCGACUAGAGUACUGGAGAGGGAAACGGAAUUCACGGUGUAGCAGUGAAAUGCGUAGAUAUCGUGAGGAACACCAGAGGCGAAGGCGGUUUCCUGGACAGUUACUGACGCUCAGGCACGAAAGCAUGGGGAGCAAAAGGGAUUAGAUACCCUAGUAGUC